UGGGCAACGUCAAACGUGUGCGGCCUGGAGAAAACUAUCGGCGCUCGUUCUGGAUACAUAUGUCAGUAAUGCCGGGAGCGGAAAGGGGUUAGAACUUAGUUAUUUGGUUGCCGUGUGGUCUGGCUGUUCACAGUUUAGUAUAAAAGUCGGCCCGUUUCGGAUGAAUGAAUCAAAGUUCAAGAUGAAGUGUUUCCUAGUUUUCUCCGUUCUGGUCGCCGUGUGCGCUGCUACGAGCCUCCCGAAGCCUGAUUGCCCCCCGAAUAGUGAUUGGAAUAACUUUGUUACCAAGUUCGAACCUUCAUGUGAUACCUUGAACAAUCCGCCGCCACCACAAUCCGGACCCCCUUCCUACGAUGUGGGCUGUAAAUGCAAUGAGGGAUAUGUUCAUAAUGCCGAGAAAAGAUGCAUCCUCAUCGCUGAUUGUCCUUAAAAGAAGAAAAAACAUUAACCCUUUUGAAUGAAAAAUUAUGCACAAUAAACAAUAGCAAUUGAAA